rnacentral:rRNA from 1 species
ACGCACGCUGGCGGCGUGCUUCACACAUGCAAGUCGCACGGAAAGGCCCUGCUUUUGUGGGGUGCUUGAGUGGCGAACGGGUGAGUAACACGUGAGUAACCUGCCCUUGACUUUGGGAUAACUUCAGGAAACUGGGGCUAAUACCGGAUAGGAGCUCCUGCUGCAUGGUGGGGGUUGGAAAGUUUCGGCGGUUGGGGAUGGACUCGCGGCUUAUCAGCUUGUUGGUGGGGUAGUGGCUUACCAAGGCUUUGACGGGUAGCCGGCCUGAGAGGGUGACCGGCCACAUUGGGACUGAGAUACGGCCCAGACUCCUACGGGAGGCAGCAGUGGGGAAUAUUGCACAAUGGGCGGAAGCCUGAUGCAGCAACGCCGCGUGCGGGAUGACGGCCUUCGGGUUGUAAACCGCUUUCGCCUGUGACGAAGCGUGAGUGACGGUAAUGGGUAAAGAAGCACCGGCUAACUACGUG